GACGAACGCUGGCGGCGUGCUUAACACAUGCAAGUCGAACGGAAAGGCGCUGCUUUUGUGGGGUGCUCGUGUGGCGAACGGGUGAGUAACACGUGAGUAACCUGCCCUUGACUGUGUGAUAACUUCAGGAAACUGGGGCUAAUACCGGAUAGGAGCUCCUGCUGCAUGGUGGUGGUUGGAGAGUGUCGGCCGUAGUGGCUCGUCUCGCGGCUUAUCAGCUUGUUGGUGGAGUAGUGGCUUACCAAGGGUUUGACGGGUAGCCGGCAUGGGAGGGUAAACAGGCUCCAGAGGCCUGAGAGACGGAGCAGACUGGAACGGGAGGCAGCGGGGGAGAGUCUUACACAACGAGGCGGCGUCUGAUACGAAGGCGCUGCGAGCGUGAUGACGGCCUACGGGUUGUAAACCGCUUUCGCCUGUGACGAAGCGUGCGUGACGGUAAUGGGUAAAGAAGCACCGGCUAACUACGUG
rnacentral:rRNA from 1 species